GACGAACGCUGGCGGCGUGCUUAACACAUGCAAGUCGAACGGAAAGGCCCUGCUUUUGUGGGGUGCUCGAGUGGCGAACGGGUGAGUAACACGUGGGUAACCUGCCCUUGACUUUGGGAUAACUUCAGGAAACUGGGGCUAAUACCGGAUAGGAGCUCCUGCUGCAUGGUGGGGGUUGGAAAGUUUCGGCGGUUGGGGAUGGACUCGCGGCUUAUCAGCUUGUUGGUGGGGUAGUGGCUUACCAAGGCUUUGACGGGUAGCCGGCCUGAGAGGGUGACCGGCCACAUUGGGACUGAGAUACGGCCCAGACUCCUACGGGAGGCAGCAGUGGGGAAUAUAGCACAAUGGGCGGAAGCCUGAUGCAGCAACGCCGCGUGCGGGAUGACGGCCUUCGGGUUGUAAACCGCUUUCGCCUGUGACGAAGCGUGAGUGACGGUAAUGGGUAAAGAAGCACCGGCUAACUACGUG
rnacentral:rRNA from 1 species